rnacentral:rRNA from 1 species
UACGUAGGGAGCAAGCGUUAUCCGGAUUUACUGGGUGUAAAGGGCGUGUAGGCGGGCAUGCAAGCCAGAAGUGAAAUCUGGGGGCUUAACCCCCAAACUGCUUUUGGAACUGCGUGUCUUGAGUGAUGGAGAGGCAGGCGGAAUUCCCAGUGUAGCGGUGAAAUGCGUAGAUAUUGGGAGGAACACCAGUGGCGAAGGCGGCCUGCUGGACAUUAACUGACGCUGAGGCGCGAAAGCGUGGGGAGCAAACAGG